UGUAUGUUCUCCUUGAAGAAAUGUCUAUCAGUGCCUUUGCCCAAUUUUUGAUUGGAUCGUUUGUCUUCCUGGUAUUGAGUCAUAUCUCCUUAUUUGCUUGACGAAACCCAGGAAGCGGUCCAUCUCUCCCUCUCCGCGCAGCCGACUCAGCCAGCGGCGGAGCUGAGACAGCCCAGCUGCCCGGGGAGCUGGUGGAGCAUGAAUGCCCCGCACGGACCCUGCCGCGCUACCCUUCCAUCUGCCUCUGUGCUACCCCGUCCACGCUCAGAUUCUCCAGCCCCUUGGAGGAAAAGAGGAAUAGAACCACUACUGAGAUUAAAUCUCCAACUGACAACCUUCCCUAGAUCUCUCAAUAUAUAAUGCAGAAGUGGAACUGCUGGGUCAUACGGCGGUUCAUCGUUCCCUUUUACAAUGAAAAAUUUUAGAUGUGAAGUUGAAAAUCUGCAAAGAGAAUGUAUUUGUUUUUCAAAUACCCUCAGUGCAAAAAAGUUUGAAAUCACUGCCUAAAUAUAGUGGUGGUUCCUUUUCGCCUUUGCAUCCUUAGCUGGGAGAGCACGUUGCUGUAUGUACAAUGUCCGAUGAGCGGAAAGAUGGAAUGAAGAGUGAAUAAUGGAUGAAUAAAUAAUUGAUAGAGCCAUGACUGAA